GUUUAAUGAGUCUCGGUAAUUUAUUAAGGAAACCUAAGAGCGUGAUUUUUAAUGUGUUUUACACGGAGUUUCGAACACUCGAUUACGGCGGAAUGACCAGUCCGGGUCGCGAUUUUCGGCGGUGAAAAUGAACGCCGCUGCGCAUUAGCUGAAAUCGCACGUACGUGUUCACCGCUCAAUUUUCAGCAGUCUCUUUUCCCCUCAUUUUUCUUCUUCUUCUUUUUUUUUUUUUUUGUUUUCCACAUUUUUGACUUUUAUCUCUUGUUUAUACCAGACGAUAAAACGUGAAUAAAUUAUUCAUCUCGUGGCGCCAGCGGCCACGCGAAGCUCAUAAGUCAGUUGCGGUUUGUCCCGUCCCUCGAUCCUGCGAAAUCCGGAUCGCCGUCUGUCGCUUCUGCAUCAGGAAACCGAUGUGAAAAAAAAUUCACUCCGCUCGUAGCAAACCCCGCUAAAGGAAAUUUUCUCAAAACGAACGCCACUAAUUAACUGAUUGGCUCACGGCGAUUGCCGACACGUUUCGUACGUACGUACGUACCUUCGUUCUUCUAUCUGCUAAAUAGUCUUACGCAGUACGCGGUGUUACCAGCCACGCGAUCUCCGGUUAAAACGCGGAGACCGCAUUCCGACUGCAUUUCGAAUCGCCAGUGGAUCGGCAGGAAACGUAAUUUCGAAAAAUUCACCACGAUUCCCGUCUCCUUAUUCGCCGUGUUAAAUUACGUCUAUUAUAUUUCAUAACGUAGAAUCGGUAGUGGAUAACGAAUUCCCAUUUCGUUCCUUUUGUUUUUUUUUUUCUUUUUUUUCUCUCUCAUUUUUUUCGUUCAUUUUCUUCUUUCGGUCAAGAUUCAUUAAUUACGCGUCGUUGAAUCAGCUCGGGCAUAAUAAUAUCAGUCCGCGAAAUACGUAGACUCGUAUAUAUAUAUACGAGUUCGCGUGUUUCACUCUUCCUGGUACAACGCGCGCGCUGUGCACGGUGCAGAGACCCGAUGCGUGAAGGUCGUUCAAUGCCGUCAAUCCCCGUGGCGGCGAGCUCCGCCAACGGCCAAAGCAGCGGCAGCAGCUGGCGAUAGUUUCUUCAUUGGACAAGUUCUCAGAGGUCCGAGCGUAAAAGCGAGUUGAUUUAAAAUUGCGAUCUUACGCACACCCCGGGAGGGGGGGGGAAGCGUAUUUAAAAGAAGAGAGAGAAAUUUCACUGGACAACUUGGACUCGACGAUUCUCGUAAAGUUUUCGCACCGCUGAUUUACAUCCGUUUCUCGAUGCACGCGGUGGCGCGAUGCCCGGUGCUCGACGGAAAAAACUUGCGAAAAAUUAAAUAUCAAAAAUAACAAUGACGACAAUAAACCAAAAACGCAAUCAGCCGCACCCGUCUGAAGUUCGCGCGUGGUUUAUUGCUCGGGAACGAUGCAGUUCGGCUAAUCCUUUUUGGGCUGUGAGUGAAAGAACCGGGAUGGGAAGAAGAAGAAAAAAAUAAUCCACUGAUUUAAGAAACGAUGUUCGUCCGUCGAGGUGUUGCCAUGACGAAUGGAGGAUGUCCAGUUCGAGGGUAUUAUAUAUGUCGCGCUGAUUUUUCUUUUGGUCCCCAACGCAAAGUCUACGCGGCUCAGUUUUAUUUUCUACCGAAACAUCUUUCAUCCCUUUCAUGCCUAUGCUGCACCAGCCUCGCCACCGGCAUCCUCCUAUGUCCUGGGUCUUCCGUCUUGAGUUCGACGGCAGUUCGGCUUCGGCGUCAGAAGCGGCGACAUCGGGAGCGACAUCAAAAUAAACAACGCAGGUUCCUCAGAGCGACGAUGGAGAGAGAGAGAACGAUGGCCAUUGCGCGAUGCAAGCAUAUCAGGACAUCAACGAGUCUCUCCAAAGAUCCACUCCUCUCCAUCCCGUUCCGGUAGAGAUGGAUCUGCAACACAUGAGACGUACAACUCCUUUUUUUGCGGAGGUCGCAUAUCUUCCAACGUCGCAGUUAUGACCCCCUGGACUUCCCCUGUUCAUCAGGGGGAGUCCAGGGACCCGUCCCCUGGGACUGCGCGGCCUCCCACCGCCCCCGGGGUCCCAGGGGACCCAGUCCCCGAGGACUUGUCUCCG